CCCAGAAGCCAGAACUGCAAGAGGGAUUGCUGCUUUCACUUCACAGCGAUCCCUCUUGCUGUUCUGGCUUCUGAG
rnacentral:miRNA from 1 species